AUAUAUUAAGCUGUUAGCAGUGUUCAAUAAAUGAAACUUGCUGAUUCUCAUAUUGAGCGUCUCUCUCUUCCCUCGUCACGACAGAUGUGAGUGGUGUGACA